GGAUUACUUAGUACGGCGAGUGAGCGGUAAAAGCUCAAAUUUGAAAUCUGGUACUUUCAGUGCCCGAGUUGUAAUUUGUAGAAUUUGUCUUUGAUUAGGUCCUUGUCUAUGUUCCUUGGAACAGGACGUCAUAGAGGGUGAGAAUCCCGUUUGGCGAGGAUACCUUUUCUCUGUAAGACUUUUUCGAAGAGUCGAGUUGUUUGGGAAUGCAGCUCAAAGUGGGUGGUAAAUUCCAUCUAAAGCUAAAUAUUGGCGAGAGACCGAUAGCGAACAAGUACAGUGAUGGAAAGAUGAAAAGAACUUUGAAAAGAGAGUGAAAAAGUACGUGAAAUUGUUGAAAGGGAAGGGCAUUUGAUCAGACAUGGUGUUUUUUGCAUGCACUCGCCUCUCGUGGGCUUGGGCCUCUCAAAAAUUUCACUGGGCCAACAUCAAUUCUGGCAGCAGGAUAAAUCAUUAAGAAUGUAGCUACUUCGGUAGUGUUAUAGCUUUUUGGAAUACUGUUAGCCGGGAUUGAGGACUGCGCUUCGGCAAGGAUGUUGGCAUAAUGGUUAAAUGCCGCCCGUCUUGAACCACGGACCA
rnacentral:rRNA from 1 species